rnacentral:pre_miRNA from 1 species
AAAAAGACAAACCCUGGUUUCCGUGCCCAACGUUUGACCGUCCGUCUUAUUUUAAAAAAUUAAGAAAAAAAAUUAAAAAGACAAGUCACGUAUAAAAUAUUAAUCAUGUUUUAUCAUCUAACAACAAUAAAAAUAUGAAUUAUAAAAAAAUUUCAUAUAAGACAGACAAUCAAAGUUGGACACGGAAAUCUAGGAUUUGCCUUUUU